AAAAUUUUAUAUUUUAAUUUAAUUUUGAUUAAUUAUUAUUUAUUAAAAGAAGUAUCUAGUUAUUUUAGUAUAAUUAAAAGAAAUAAUUGUUUAAUAUUAUAUAUUUGUACUGUGAAGGAAAAAUUUAGAGAAAUCUAAAAGAAGCUAUUUUUAGUGUACCUUUUGUAUCAGGGUUUAUUAAUUUUAUUAUAAUUAAAUUAUUUUUCCCGAAAUUUAAAGAUAUAUAAUUAUAUAAAUUUUAUAAGUUUCAUAUUGUUCUUUAAUAUAAUUAUAGAAGUUAUAUGCCAUUCAAUUUAAAUAUAUCUGGUUUUCUUUGAAAUAAAUUUAAUUUAAAAUUUGUAUGAAUAGUUUUUAGUUAAAUUAUUUAUUUUUAUAUAAAUUUAAUUGUUUAAGGGAUAAGCUUUAAAUAAAUUUUAUAAUUUUUUAUUUUUAUUCAAUUUAAAUAAGAAUAACAUUUUCUAUUUUUAUAUUUUUAUAAAAAAGAUUGUUUAUAGGUUAAUUUUUUUUAAUUUAAUAUCUUAAAAGAACUAUUAUUAAAUAAAAUUAUUUUGUGAUAAUGAUAAAAUUAGUAAUAUUAAAUAUCUUAAUUUAAGAAUUCGGCAAAUAUAUUCACGAAUGUUUAAUAAAAACAUUUCUAUUUGGUAAUUUUAUAAUUAGUAAAACCUGCCCAAUGAUUUUUUAAAUGGCCGCGACUUUUGUCGUGCAAAGGUAGCAUAAUAAUUUGUCUCUUAAUUAGGGUCUAGCAUGAAUGGUAUAACGAUGAAUAUACUUUUUUAAUUAAGGUUUUAUUAACUUUAUUUUUUAGUUAAAAAGCUAAAAUGAUUUUAUGGGACGAUAAGACCCUAUAGAAUUUAAUUUAUUAAUAGUUAUUUUUAUUUAUAUAAUUAUUUGAAGUAAUUUAUAAAAUAAAUUUAGUUGGGGUGACUAUUUCAUAUUAUUAACUGAAAUUUAAUUUAAAUCAUAAAUUUAUGAUUUUUUGAUCCUUUAUUUUGGAUUAUAAGAUUAAAUUACCUUAGGGAUAACAGCGUAAUUCUUUUGGAAAGUUCUUAUUGAUAAAAGAGAUUGCGACCUCGAUGUUGGAUUAAAGUUAAAUUAUGGUGUAGAUGUUAUAAUUUUAAGUCUGUUCGACUUUUAAAACUUUACAUGAUCUGAGUUAAGACCGGCGUGAGCCAGGUUGGUUUCUAUCUAUAAUUUUUAUAUUUUAUUUUAGUACGAAAGGACCGGAUAAAACAAAUAUCUUUGUU
rnacentral:rRNA from 1 species